rnacentral:rRNA from 1 species
AUAACGGUCCUAAGGUAGCGAAAUUCCUUGUCGGGUAAGUUCCGACCUGCACGAAAGGCGCAACGACUUGGGCGCUGUCUCGACCAUGGACCCGGUGAAAUUGCACUGGUCGUGAAGAUGCGACUUACCCGCGGAAGGACGGAAAGACCCCGUGAACCUUCACUGCAGCUUGGCAUUGGCCGCUGGUCCCGCGUGUAGAGGAUAGGCAGGAGGCGAAGAUCCGGAGGCGCCAGCCCCCGGGGAGCCGCCCUUGGAAUACUGCCCUCGCGCGACCGGCGUCCUAACCCGAGGCCGUCAACCGGCUCGGGGACCGUGCCAGGCGGGCAGUUUGACUGGGGCGGUCGCCUCCUAAAGGGUAACGGAGGCGCGCGAAGGUCCGCUCGGGACGGUCGGCAACCGUCCUUUUGAAUGCAAGAGUACAAGCGGGCUUGACUGCGAGGCCCACAAGCCGAGCAGGUGCGAAAGCAGGCUCUAGUGAUCCGGCGGCCCCGAGUGGGUGGGCCGUCGCUCAACGGAUAAAAGGUACUCCGGGGAUAACAGGCUGAUCUUGCCCAAGAGUCCACAUCGACGGCAAGGUUUGGCACCUCGAUGUCGGCUCAUCGCAUCCUGGGGCUGGAGCAGGUCCCAAGGGUACGGCUGUUCGCCGUUUAAAGUGGUACGCGAGCUGGGUUUAAAACGUCGUGAGACAGUUUGGUCCCUAUCUUCUGUGGGCGUAGGAGAAUUGAGAGGGUUUGUCCCUAGUACGAGAGGACCGGGAUGAACGCACCACUGGUGGAUCAGUUGUCGCGCCAGCGGCAUAGCUGAGUAGCUAUGUGCGGAAUGGAUAACCGCUGAAAGCAUCUAAGCGGGAAGCCAGCCUCGAGAUAAGUUCUCCCUGUCGCAAGACACUAAAGGGCCGAUGCAGACUACAUCGUUGAUAGGCCGGAGGUGGAAGCGCUGCGAAGCGUGGAGCUGACCGGUACUAAUAGCCCGUGCGCCUUAUAUUU